rnacentral:rRNA from 1 species
GAGGAUAACAUUUAGAAAUAUUUGCUAAUACUCUAUAUGCUUUACAGUGAAAGAAUUUAUUCGCCUAAAGAGGAGCUCGCGUCUGAUUAGCUAGUUGGUAGGGUAAAGGCCUACCAAGGCGACGAUCAGUAGUUGGUCUGAGAGGACGGCCAGCCACAUUGGAACUGAGACACGGUCCAGACUCUUACGGGAGGCAGCAGUGAGGAAUUUUCUGCAAUGGGCGCAAGCCUGACAGAGCAAUACCGCGUGAGGGAUGACUGCCUACGGGUUGUAAACCUCUUUUCUCAAGGAGGAAGAUCUGACGUUACUUGAGGAAUAAGCAUCGGCUAACCCUGUGCCAGCAGCCGCGGUAAUACAGGGGAUGCAAGUGUUAUCCGGAAUUAUUGGGCGUAAAGCGUCUGCAGGUUGAUCUACAAGUCUUUUGUUAAAUUUUCAGGCUUAACCUGAAGUCAGCAAAAGAAACUGUUUAUCUUGAGUAUGGUAGAGGUAAGGGGAAUUUCCAGUGGAGCGGUGAAAUGCGUAGAUAUUGGAAAGAACACCAACAGCGAAGGCACCUUACUGGGCCAUUACUGACACUCAGAGACGAAAGCUAGGGUAGCAAACGGGAUUAGAUACCCCGGUAGUCCUAGCCGUAAACGAUGGAUACUAGAUGUUGUGUACUUUAAUAGUAUGCAGUGUCGUAGCUAACGCG